rnacentral:rRNA from 1 species
CAGACAACCAGGAUGUUGGCUUAGAAGCAGCCAUUCAUUUAAAGAGUGCGUAAUAGCUCACUGGUCGAGUGAAGUUGCGCGGAAAAUUACCGGGGCUAAGUUAUACACCGAAAUUGCGGAUUCAUUAAGAAAUUAAUGAGUGGUAGAGGAGCGUUCUAUACAGGAUGAAGUAUGAUCGAGAGGACAUAUGGACAGUAUAGAAGAGAGAAUGCCGGAAUGAGUAGCGAGAGCAAAGUGAGAAUCUUUGCCGUCGAAAAUCUAAGGUUUCCUGGGGAAGGUUCGUCCGCCCAGGGUAAGUCGGGACCUAAGGUGAGGCCGAAGGGCGUAGCCGAUGGACAGCAGGUUAAGAUUCCUGCACCAGUAUACAUGUAUAAUGCAUAAGAGGACACAUUUGAAGAAGAUGAGCGAGGAAGAGGAAAAACUCGUAUGGCAACAUAUAGUGAAAUAAAGUAACGAAUCAUCAAGAGGCGAGUGGCGAGAAAAGUCUUAUGUAGUUGUGUAGACUGCCCGUACCGCAAACCGACACAGGUAGAUGAGGAGAGGAUCCUAAGACGAGCGGGAGAAGCAUUGUUAAGGAACUCGGCAAAUUGACCCCGUAACUUAGGGAUAAGGGGUGCUGGUGUAAAAACCAGUCGCAGUAAAUAGGCCCAAGCAACUGUUUAACAAAAACACAGGUUUCUGCUAAAUCGCAAGAUGAAGUAUAGGAGCUGACUCCUGCCCAGUGCUGGAAGGUUAAGGGGAAAGGUUAGGAAUAAUUCAUUAUAUCCGAAGCUUUGAACUCAAGCCCCAGUGAACGGCGGCCGUAACUAUAACGGUCCUAAGGUAGCGAAAUUCCUUGUCAGGUAAGUUCUGACCCGCACGAAAGGAGUAAUGAUUUGGGCACUGUCUCAACAAUGUACCCGGCGAAAUUGUAGUACUAGUGAAGAUGCUAGUUACCUGCGACAAGACGGAAAGACCCCAUGGAGCUUUACUAUAGCCUGAUAUUGGGCUUUGGUAUCUUAUGUACAGGAUAGGUGGGAGACUAUGAGAUUAAGACGCUAGUCUUAAAGGAGUCAACCUUGGAAUACCACCCUUAAGAUAUUAGAGUUCUAACUUGUGAUCAUAAGCUGGUCAGAGGACAUUGUCAGGUGGGUAGUUUGACUGGGGCGGUCACCUCCUAAAGAGUAACGGAGGUGCGCAAAGGUUUCCUCGGCACGGUCAGAAAUCGUGCUAUUGAGUGUAAAGGCAUAAGGAAGCUUAACUGAGAGAGAGACAUCUCGAGCAGAUACGAAAGUAGGUCUUAGUGAUCCGGUGGUAGAAAAUGGAAUUGCCAUCGCUCAACGGAUAAAAGUUACCCUGGGGAUAACAGGCUUAUCUCCCCCAAGAGUUCACAUCGACGGGGAGGUUUGGCACCUCGAUGUCGGCUCAUCGCAUCCUGGGGCUGUAGUCGGUCCCAAGGGUUGGGCUGUUCGCCCAUUAAAGCGGUACGCGAGCUGGGUUCAGAACGUCGUGAGACAGUUCGGUCCCUAUCUGUCGCAGGCGCAGGAUAUUUGAAAGGAGCUGUCCUUAGUACGAGAGGACCAGGAUGGACAUACCAAUGGUGCAACAGUUGUCACACCAGUGGCACAGCUGUGUAGCUAAGUAUGGAAGGGAUAAACGCUGAAAGCAUCUAAGCGUGAAGCCCCCCUUAAGAUAAGAUAUCCCACAACGUCAAGUUGGUAAGAUUCCAGUUAGACUAACUGGUUGAUAGGUUAGAGGUGUAAGUGUGGUGACACAUUUAGCUGACUAAUACUAAUAAUCGAGGGCUUAACCAA